CUGUGGUGGAUUCCUUUUAUUAGAACAAAAACCGAACGGCGUUUGACGAAUGUUGAACGUCGAAACUGUUUGGUGAAUCUGAAUAACUAUUUCUGAUCGCAUGGUCUAGCACCGGCGACAUCACUUUCAAGUGUCUGCCUUAUCAACCUUCGAUGGUAGUCUAUGCGACUACCAUGGUGAUAACGGGUAACGGAGAAUCAGGGUUCGACUCCGGAGAGGGAGCCUGAGAAACGGCUACCACAUCCAAGGAAGGCAGCAGGCGCGCAAAUUACCCACUCCCAGCUUGGGGAGGUAGUGACGAAAAAUAACGAGACGAUUCUCGUUUGAGAAACGUUAUCGAAAUGAGUACGCUUUACACACGCUAACGAGUAGCAAUUGGAGGGCAAGUCUGGUGCCAGCAGCCGCGGUAAUUCCAGCUCCAAUAGCGUAUAUUAAAGUUGCUGCGGUUAAAACGCUCGUAGUUGAAUUGUGGUCUUAGACAACAGUCCCCCUACAAAGGUGUGGCACGGUUGCUCGAGAUCUUCAUUCGUGGUUGCUGUUGUUGCUCUUCAUUGAGUGUCAAUGGUGCCUCGAGAUUUUACUUUGAAAAAAUUAGAGUGCUCAAAGCACGUUGUGAUGCCUGAAUAAUGGUGCAUGGAAUAAUAGAAUACGAUCUCGGUUCUAUUUUGUUGGUUUUCGAACCGGAGAUAAUGAUUGAAAGGAACAGACGGGGGCAUUCGUAUUGCUGCGUUAGAGGUGAAAUUCUUGGAUCGCAGCAGAUGAUCAUUUGCGAAGCAUUUGCCAAGAAUGUUUUCAUU
rnacentral:ncRNA from 1 species